rnacentral:rRNA from 1 species
UACGGAAGGGGCAAGCGUUGUUCGGAUUUAUUGGGCGUAAAGAGCGUGUAGGCGGUUAGGUAGGUCCGUUGUGAAAACUCGAGGCUCAACCUCGAGACGCCGAUGGAAACCAUCUGACUAGAGUCCGGAAGAGGAGAGUGGAAUUCCUGGUGUAGCGGUGAAAUGCGCAGAUAUCAGGAAGAACACCCGUGGCUAAGGCGGCUCUCUAGUACGGUACUGACGCUGAGACGCGAAAGCGUGGGGAGCGAACAGG